AGCGAACGCUGGCGGCAGGCCUAACACAUGCAAGUCGAACGGACCCUUCGGGGUUAGUGGCGGACGGGUGAGUAACACGUGGGAACGUGCCUUUAGGUUCGGAAUAGCUCCUGGAAAAGGGUGGUAAUGCCGAAUGUGCCCUUCGGGGGAAAGAUUUAUCGCCUUUAGAGCGGCCCGCGUCUGAUUAGCUAGUUGGUGAGGUAAUGGCUCAACAAGGCGACGAUCAGUAGCUGGUCUGAGAGGAUGACCAGCCACAUUGGGACUGAGACAUGGCCCAAACUCCUACGGGAGGCAGCAGUGGGGAAUCUUGCGCAAUGGGCGAAAGCCUGACGCAGCCAUGCCGCGUGGAUGAUGAAGGUCUUAGGAUUGUAAAAUCCUUUCACCGGUGAAGAUAAUGACUGUAGCCGGAGAAGAAGCCCCGGCUAACUUCGUGCCAGCCGCCGCAGUAAUAC
rnacentral:rRNA from 1 species